CGAACGGUAAGUGCUCCAGCUUGCUGGGGUACACGAGUGGCGAACGGGUGAGUAACACGUGGGUGACCUGCCCUGCACUUCGGGAUAAGCCUGGGAAACUGGGUCUAAUACCGGAUAGGACCGCACCGUGAGGGUGUGGUGGAAAGUUUUUUCGGUGUGGGAUGGGCCCGCGGCCUAUCAGCUUGUUGGUGGGGUAAUGGCCUACCAAGGCGGCGACGGGUAGCCGGCCUGAGAGGGUGGACGGCCACAUUGGGACUGAGACACGGCCCAGACUCCUACGGGAGGCAGCAGUGGGGAAUAUUACACAAUGGGCGGAAGCCUGAUGCAGCGACGCCGCGUGGGGGAUGACGGCCUUCGGGUUGUAAACUCCUUUCACCAUCGACGAAGGGUUUCUGACGGUAGAUGGAGAAGAAGCACCGGCUAACUACGUGCCAGCAGCCGCGGUAAUACGUAGGGUGCGAGCGUUGUCCGGAAUUACUGGGCGUAAAGAGCUCGUAGGUGGUUUGUCGCGUCGUCUGUGAAAUUCCGGGGCUUAACUCCGGGCGUGCAGGCGAUACGGGCAUAACUUGAGUACUGUAGGGGAGACUGGAAUUCCUGGUGUAGCGGUGAAAUGCGCCAGAUAUCAGGAGGAACACCGGUGGCGAAGGCGGGUCUCUGGGCAGUAACUGACGCUGAGGAGCGAAAGCAUGGGGAGCGAACAGGAUUAGAUACCCUGGUAGUCCAUGCCGUAAACGGUGGGCGCUAGGUGUGGGUUUCCUUCCACGGGAUCCGUGCCGUAGCUAACGCAUUAAGCGCCCCGCCUGGGG
rnacentral:rRNA from 1 species